ACACAGUGAAAAGCACACUUACUGGCCGAAAACAAUCCCGCCGUAAUACACAGCAUUUAGCAGUCGACACUACCAAUCAUACCGAAUAGCCGAUCAAACGAUAGCCGCCAUGAUUCAAACCUACAGUUUAUGUUAGAUAGAUGUAUGUCGCUCGCUGUUAUCUGUAGUGUGCAGUGCAAGUUGUCCCAAAAAGAUCAAGAAAAAUUUAUGUGUUUUAUGUUAAAUGGCAUUACAAGAAGCUCCAACUCUCAAACUGCAUUCAAAAACCGCAUAACGAGAGACGGUUGACUGCUUAUCCCUUGAAAAAGGUCCAAUACACGGGACCGAAACGUCGGGCUAUGCCAAACUAGCCGUUUCAAUGCUCUUAGACUGAGAAAGCCACAACAGUUCAACAUUUCCUCCCAGUCGUAUACCUCCUACAAU